GAUGAACGCUGACAGAAUGCUUAACACAUGCAAGUCUACUUGAAUUUGGGUUUUUUAACUUAGAUUUGGGUGGCGGACGGGUGAGUAACGCGUAAAGAACUUGCCUCACAGCUAGGGACAACAUUUGGAAACGAAUGCUAAUACCUGAUAUUAUGAUUAUAAGGCAUCUUAGAAUUAUGAAAGCUAUAUGCGCUGUGAGAGAGCUUUGCGUCCCAUUAGCUAGUUGGAGAGGUAACGGCUCACCAAGGCGAUGAUGGGUAGCCGGCCUGAGAGGGUGAACGGCCACAAGGGGACUGAGACACGGCCCUUACUCCUACGGGAGGCAGCAGUGGGGAAUAUUGGACAAUGGACCAAGAGUCUGAUCCAGCAAUUCUGUGUGCACGAUGACGUUUUUCGGAAUGUAAAGUGCUUUCAGUUGGGAAGAAAAAAAUGACGGUACCAACGGAAGAAGUGACGGCUAAAUACGUG
rnacentral:rRNA from 1 species